GUGAAAAGUACCCCGGGAGGGGAGUGAAAUAGUACCUGAAACCGUGUGCCUACAAUCCGUCAGAGCCUCCUCGUGGGGUGAUGGCGUGCCUUUUGAAGAAUGAGCCUGCGAGUCAGGGACACGUCGCGAGGUUAACCCGUGCGGGGUAGCCGCAGCGAAAGCGAGUCUGAAUAGGGCGCAUCCCCUUUGGGGUGUAGUGGCGUGUUCUGGACCCGAAGCGGAGUGAUCUACCCAUGGCCAGGGUGAAGCGCGGGUAAGACCGCGUGGAGGCCCGAACCCACUUAGGUUGAAGACUGAGGGGAUGAGCUGUGGGUAGGGGUGAAAGGCCAAUCAAACUCCGUGAUAGCUGGUUCUCCCCGAAAUGCAUUUAGGUGCAGCGUUGCGUGGUUCACCACGGAGGUAGAGCUACUGGAUGGCCGAUGGGCCCUACUAGGUUACUGACGUCAGCCAAACUCCGAAUGCCGUGGUGUAAAGCGUGGCAGUGAGACGGCGGGGGAUAAGCUCCGUACGUCGAAAGGGAAACAGCCCAGAUCGCCGGCUAAGGCCCCUAAGCGUGUGCUAAGUGGAAAAGGAUGUGUAGUCGCAGAGACAACCAGGAGGUUGGCUUAGAAGCAGCCACCCUUGAAAGAGUGCGUAAUAGCUCACUGGUCAAGUGAUUAUGCGCCGAUAAUGUAGCGGGGCUCAAGCACACCGCCGAAGCCGCGGCACAUUCAUCUUUACGGUGGAUGUGGGUAGGGGAGCGUCCCCCAUUCAGCGAAGCCUCCGGGUGACCGGUGGUGGAGGGUGGGGGAGUGAGAAUGCAGGCAUGAGUAGCGAUAAGGCAAGUGAGAACCUUGCCCGCCGUAAGACCAAGGGUUCCUGGGCCAGGCCAGUCCGCCCAGGGUGAGUCGGGACCUAAGGCGAGGCCGACAGGCGUAGUCGAUGGACAACGGGUUGAUAUUCCCGUACCCGUGUAUGGGCGUCCCUGAUGAAUCAGCGGUACUAACCACCCAAAACCGGAUCGACCAUUCCCCUUCGGGGGCAUGGCGAUUCGGGGCUGCGUGGGACCUUCGCUGGUAGUAGUCAAGCAAUGGGGUGACGCAGGAAGGCAGCCGUACCAGUCAGUGGUAAUACUGGGGCAAGCCCGUAGGGAGAGCGAUAGGCAAAUCCGUCGCUCACUAAUCCUGAGAGGUGAUGCAUAGCCGGUUGAGGCGAAUUCGGUGAUCCUCUGCUGCCAAGAAAAGCCUCUAGCGAGCACAUACACGGCCCGUACCCCAAACCAACACAGGUGGUCAGGUAGAGAAUACCAAGGCGUACGAGAUAACUAUGGUUAAGGAACUCGGCAAAAUGCCCCCGUAACUUCGGGAGAAGGGGGGCCGGAAUACCGUGAACACCCUUGCGGUGGGAGCGGGAUUCGGCCGCAGAAACCAGUGGGUAGCGACUGUUUACUAAAAACACAGGUCCGUGCGAAGUCGCAAGACGAUGUAUACGGACUGACGCCUGCCCGGUGCUGGAAGGUUAAGAGGACCCGUUAACCCGUAAGGGUGAAGCGGAGAAUUUAAGCCCCAGUAAACGGCGGUGGUAACUAUAACCAUCCUAAGGUAGCGAAAUUCCUUGUC
rnacentral:rRNA from 1 species